AACUCGACUUAUUUUUUCGGUCAAAUAUAAAAGUUAAAAUUAGACUUUUAUUUUUUCGGUCAAAAUGGCAGUUUACAUAUUCACAAUACAAUAGGGGAGCUCACGUUGAAUAGCAUUUUAGGUGUAAAGUUGCUACGUAGCAAUCUAGCACGCAUUUUGUUGAUGGAAGAGCAAAUGCUACGGAAAGUGAGUACCGCUAUUAUACUACUGAAAGUAAGUACCGCUAAUAUAUUUUAUUUAUUUAAAUAAAUAAAUAAUAUAUUUUAAUAAAAAGUGAACACCCUUCCAAUUUCUGUUUUCUAUCUUCUGUAAAUGUGUUGAGUUUCUUUAAUUUAGGCUUUAAGUUAUUCACCUUUUUACUGGAAUGAUUCGGAAUUCAAUUUAACAAUUAAUUUGAAAUAGCUGCAAAGUUCUGCUCCGACAAAUUGUAACGCAAAUCGCUAAGAAGUAAGCUUAGUGUCGAGAACGCGCGUUCUACAGUAACUUGUGUCGCUGGAAAUUGAUGUAUAAUACAUGCCAGAUUUUUUAGUCGGGGAUAUAUAAAUUUUUUACUCUCCCAGUAAUCCAUAAGCUACAUAACUUUUUCGGGCAUCUUACUGUGCUUUAAAUUGAUCUGUACACUCUGAGAAAACAUCUUAAUAAUACCAUAGUAAUCAUUUGAGAAUACUUUCAAGAAACUCGGUAUGUUUUUGUUGACUAAUUCGGAACAAAACUGUGGAUACUUGCGAUAUGACGGCUGCAGAUCAUCCCAGAUGGAAAUUGUGAGCAUUGAUUGUAAACAUCGGAUGAUUGUUGGCGGCUGAACACCGUAUAGACAUGUUCGGUACGUUCGCUGGAAUAUACAAGAAUAAUAUCAGGGUACAGAAGGUUACAAAAGAUUGUCUGUAUAUAAUAAGUAUUCAGAGCUGAAGCUGGGCCAAGGUGUGACCCUUGCGGGACUCCAGAUACAACGUAUAGAAGAAAAUGUCACCAACGUCAGCAAAAAAAA